GGCCCGGUAGCUCAAUGGAUAGAGCGUCUGCCUCUCAACCAGAAUGACCGGGGUUCGAUUCUCCGGCCGGGUUA